GGUUGUAAGCGAUACUGAUGUCCUUGUGUUAGCCCCGGUUACCGCUCCGAUCAUCCUUUCACUGUACUGUGAGUAGAAUCGGCCUCGUGGGCAGGGAGUCAUGCGGAUCAUAGUAAUGUCCCCUCACCAGGCUAUCCAACUACCCAGGCUGUGCUAGACAAGCGAAGUUGGGAUCGUCACCAAGCCGGAAAAGACGAUAAGUUCGGCAUGCAGCUUGCGACGUAAAAGCAUGCGGCCAGCAGGUUGUGAGGAGGAUGCCAUGCAGAACCCGUGAUCGUCUGUGCCUCAUCCGUCCGGCUCUACCUCACUGAUCGUGUUGGAGGCGAAAUCAUCGCCCAGCUGAGCUGCAGAGUCAGACUCUGCGCAGGAAUUCCGAAUGGAAUAUCUGAAAAAUGCAAAACAUUUUUUCUCAAGGUUCAUUUCAUCUCAGCGACAUCGCCACGUUAUCAAUGCAGCUUGCAAGUAACAAAGUUACAUUGUAGCUGCAUGGUGUGACUCUGCAAGCUCUGGUACACUGCAUGGAGUACAGCCACUGCCGCUGGCCGUCCAAGUCUAAGGACAGGUGAUCGGUUCACACUUGACUCUUCUCACUGCGCGGCUAGGCUCUGCACAUUCUUCAGUGGACCCGCCCGCACACAGCGCAACCAACCGUCGUUUACCUGGCCAUUGCAAUUAUUUGCAAUGCUAUCUCAAGGCAACAGCUGGAUCCCUGUGUUGCCCACCAUCGGCGCGAGAAGGAAGUCUCGAGGAGUUACAUGUAGUAGAGCGGGCACACCUAAUCUCACACAAUGGCGAUCAGUUUGCACACCUGCCAUUCUCUGAUUGUAAGAUGGACUAUGCAUGUAUAAUAAUGUACAUGUAUGUUUUCUAUUGCCACUGGUAGAUCUACCUGCUGUACAGAGUUGUCUAUCCAGGACAUGAGAACUAAAUGCACACGCUCCAGUACUGCGCAUCACCACUAGACGCCAUCAUUACCUCAUCCUCCUUUACACUGAGAUAUCAGCCACAUCAGCCCUGGUAAAUGAUACGUGUACUACCUCAUUCCCAAAGAUUUAUUCUACACCAGUUGUUGUAGUCUAUUCUAGUAUUUCCUACUCCUGGUUAGGUCAAAAUACAUCAUUCUUUAACAUCUUCAUAUUUCCUGCGUGAAAGUCUGUAUUUACAGUCAUACACAUGUAAUAUUUAUAAUAAUUAUGAAUUAUGAAUACGACGACCCCGCGGACGACCACGUCUGAGAUGGAUCGACGUUGUCAAGAAAGACUUACAAUGCAUUAAUCUCUCGCUUCUGGAUGCUGUGCAAUCUGCUUCUGAUAGAGCUGCUUGGCUCGAAAUUGUCAACAGAUGCGUUGACCUCAUGCAAUGAGUGAUAUGCGAACUGUCAUUAUUA